CGCUGGCGGCGUGCCUAAUACAUGCAAGUCGAACGGUCUUUCUAUGGAAGCUUGCUUCACUGAGAAGAUAGUGGCGAACGGGUGAGUAACACGUGGGUAACCUGCCCAUAAGAGGGGGAUAACAUCCGGAAACGGGUGCUAAUACCGCAUAGUUUUCUUGAUCGCAUGAUUGAGAAAGGAAAGACGGCCUUUGUGCUGUCGCUUAUGGAUGGACCCGCGGCGUAUUAGUUAGUUGGUGAGGUAACGGCUCACCAAGACGAUGAUACGUAGCCGACCUGAGAGGGUGAUCGGCCACAUUGGGACUGAGACACGGCCCAAACUCCUACGGGAGGCAGCAGUAGGGAAUCUUCCGCAAUGGACGAAAGUCUGACGGAGCAACGCCGCGUGAGUGAAGAAGGUUUUCGGAAUCGUAAAACUCUGUUGUCAGAGAAGAACAAGUUGGAGAGUAACUGCUCCAGCCUUGACGGUAUCUGACCAGAAAGCCACGGCUAACUACGUGCCAGCAGCUGC
rnacentral:rRNA from 1 species